rnacentral:misc_RNA from 1 species
ACGCACAACAACUAGUCCUAGACCAAAGAUAGGCGUGCGACGAGGUCGAGGACGAACGCGGAGGCAACCGACGAACCGCGCGUGCACCAGAAAAACCAAGCAGGGCGCGAGCUGCGCGCAGGCACGCGACGACCACGGCAAGGGAGCUCCGAGCUGGGACGGCGAGGAAACUCCACGACGGGAGUCGUGGUUUGGACAGAGCAGAGGGAAAAGUGGCUGGGCACCAGAGGACCGAGCAGAUGAGCGCGACUGGAGCAGGCGAUGCCGCGGCUGGAGCAGGGGCGCGGCGGCAGGAAGGGCGCGCGGCCAGGAUUCUGGCGCGCGACGAUUGGAGAAGGAGAAUUAGAGCGCGCGCAGGGCGAGCUCUAAGUUUGAAGAUGUGGUUUGCCAGACGUGCAAUGGAGGGACUCGGCCAGAGCGCAGUCCGAGCAGAGGGAGCUUCGGCCGGCGAACAGGGAGAAGCAAGGAGAGGUCCGAGAGAGAGAGAGCGGAGAAGAAACAGCGCGCAGAGAGAAAGAAGAAGUCGCGCGCGUGAAAAAAAAAGUAGGGGAGCCGCUCGGCGGAAGACGCAGGGAGGAAUGGAG